UUCACACCAACUUUAGUUUGUUUUUUCACCGCUGAAACUCAACGUCGCAUUAGUCGAUAAGCUCCAGUCGCCAUUACAGUCUAGAUUUCUCGCACGUCGAUAUUGAAAAUUACAAUCAUGAAUGCUAUUCAGCGUCUUGCAACUGUUUCGCGCCUGGCUGGUACUCGCCAAAUGAGUUCGGCAAAAAUGACACCAGAGCUGGCCAAAAUCAGAGCCAAACAAGAAUUCUUUCAGUUGGCUGAUGGAAACAUGGUCCAUGAAAAGACCCCAGCUGACCGUGUGGCUUUCUUCUUAACCUCUGCGCUGAUUGUUGCUGGUAUGGGAAUGACACUGAAGUUCUACUACGACUUUGCUUUCCCCAAGAAAGCCUAAACUUAACAUCCUGAAAGUUUGUGUUGAUUAGACUGUAUAUAGGCAAAAUUUGCUGAAAAAUAAAAAAAAGACUGA